GAUGAACGCUGGCGGCGUGCCUAAUACAUGCAAGUCGAACGCUUUGUGGUUCAACUGAUUUGAAGAGCUUGCUCAGAUAUGACGAUGGACAUUGCAAAGAGUGGCGAACGGGUGAGUAACACGUGGGAAACCUACCUCUUAGCAGGGGAUAACAUUUGGAAACAGAUGCUAAUACCGUAUAACAAUAGCAACCGCAUGGUUGCUACUUAAAAGAUGGUUCUGCUAUCACUAAGAGAUGGUCCCGCGGUGCAUUAGUUAGUUGGUGAGGUAAUGGCUCACCAAGACGAUGAUGCAUAGCCGAGUUGAGAGACUGAUCGGCCACAAUGGGACUGAGACACGGCCCAUACUCCUACGGGAGGCAGCAGUAGGGAAUCUUCCACAAUGGGCGAAAGCCUGAUGGAGCAACGCCGCGUGUGUGAUGAAGGGUUUCGGCUCGUAAAACACUGUUGUAAGAGAAGAAUGACAUUGAGAGUAACUGUUCAAUGUGUGACGGUAUCUUACCAGAAAGGAACGGCUAAAUACGUGCC
rnacentral:rRNA from 1 species